UUCGCUCGGGACGUCGGAGUUGAGUAGACGCAGCGUUAUUGUCGUCCGUGCUGUCAAACUUUCGUCGUAACGUCCCUAAUUUUUACUUUAAAUUUAUUUGCCGUAUCCAAAGAAAGAUUAAUAAUAAACUCUGUGCGUGUGUAUCCCCCACUUAUUGGGGUUCACUGUACGAGCUUCGAUCUGGCGAGCAUACCCUACGUCGUUGUCCUGCCAAGGAUUCAUCAUCACCAGGGCAGUACCGCUCUGCACAGCAAGCCAAACCACCUUAUCUCGGCCAACUUACCCACAAUAUCCCACAAUAUAGUAUUAACUAACUAUGCAAUGUUACAAUGAAUAAACAAAAUUAAUUUUCUUUGUAA